rnacentral:rRNA from 1 species
UGGAAGUGCGGCGUGCAAGAAUGCAAGUCGAGCGCUAAUUACAGGGUAGCAAUAUUCUGUAGUUGGAGCGGCGCAAGGGUGCGUAACACGUGGGUAAUCUGCCAUGAAGUCUGGGAUAACUCGCUGAAAGGCGAGCUAAUACCGGAUGUGAAAAUUAGGAGGCAUCUUCCGAUUUUCAAAGCUGGGGACCGUAAGGCCUGGCGCUUCAUGAUGAGCCCGCGGCCUAUCAGCUAGUUGGUGAGGUAACGGCUCACCAAGGCUAAGACGGGUAGCUGGUCUGAGAGGACGACCAGCCACACUGGAACUGAGACACGGUCCAGACACCUACGGGUGGCAGCAGUCGAGAAUUUUUCACAAUGGGGGAAACCCUGAUGGAGCGACGCCGCGUGGGGGAUGAAUGGCUUCGGCCCGUAAACCCCUGUCAUUUGCGAACAAAUUGGUUCAAUUAAUAACUGAACCAUUGAUAGUAGCGAGAGAGGAAGGGACGGCUAACUCUGUGCCAGCAGCCGCGGUAAUACAGAGGUCCCAAGCGUUGUUCGGAUUCACUGGGCGUAAAGGGUGCGUAGGCGGUCGGGUAAGUCUGAUGUGAAAUCUCACAGCUUAACUGUGAAACUGCAUUGGAUACUAUUCGGCUUGAGAGUUGGAGGGGGGACUGGAAUUCUUGGUGUAGCAGUGAAAUGCGUAGAUAUCAAGAGGAACACCAGUGGCGAAGGCGAGUCCCUGGACAACUUCUGACGCUGAGGCACGAAAGCUAGGGGAGCAAACAGGAUUAGAUACCCUGGUAGUCCUAGCUGUAAACGGUGCUUAUUUGCUGUAAAAGGAAUCGACCCCUUUUGUGGCGUAGCAAACGCGUUAAAUAAGCCGCCUGGGAAGUACGGUCGCAAGAUUAAAACUCAAAGAAAUUGACGGGGGCCUGCACAAGCGGUGGAGUAUGUGGCUUAAUUCGAUGCAACGCGAAGAACCUUACCUGGCCUUGACAUGCAUUUAGUAGAACCAUGAAAGUGGGACGAUCCUCGCAA